UAGACGUUAUCAGAGGUACAUUUCUUAAUUAUAAUAUCUUUAAGUAUGCAUUGAUAGACCCUAAUUAUAUUCACCCCUAUAUAUACAUUGUACCUCCUAUUAAAAGAGGAUACCGAGAGAUGAGUUAGAAGAUGACAUGCUUGUCACCAACCCUUUGAACCAUAAGGUUAUGGUAGAUUAUCAAUCGAAAAGGAUCAUAUCAAAGAUAAUAGAUGGAAAUGAGAA
rnacentral:misc_RNA from 1 species